UCCUACGGGAGGCAGCAGUGAGGAAUAUUGGUCAAUGGGCGAGAGCCUGAACCAGCCAAGUAGCGUGCAGGAUGACGGCCCUAUGGGUUGUAAACUGCUUUUAUGCGGGGAUAAAGUUCACUACGUGUAGUGUUUUGCAGGUACCGCAUGAAUAAGGACCGGCUAAUUCCGUGCCAGCAGCCGCGGUAAUACGGAAGGUCCGGGCGUUAUCCGGAUUUAUUGGGUUUAAAGGGAGCGCAGGCCGGAGGUCAAGCGUGACGUGAAAUGUAGCCGCUCAACGGCUGAACUGCGUCGCGAACUGGCUUUCUUGAGUGAGUUCGAUGUGGGCGGAAUUCGUGGUGUAGCGGUGAAAUGCUUAGAUAUCACGAAGAACUCCGAUUGCGAAGGCAGCCCACAAGGCCUUUACUGACGCUAAAGCUCGAAGGUGCGGGUAUCGAACAGGAUUAGAUACCCUGGUAGUCC
rnacentral:rRNA from 1 species